rnacentral:rRNA from 1 species
UACGUAGGGUGCGAGCGUUAAUCGGAAUUACUGGGCGUAAAGCGUGCGCAGGCGGCUUUGUAAGUCAGAUGUGAAAUCCCCGAGCUCAACUUGGGAACUGCGUUUGAAACUACAAGGCUAGAAUAUGUCAGAGGGGGGUAGAAUUCCACGUGUAGCAGUGAAAUGCGUAGAGAUGUGGAGGAAUACCAAUGGCGAAGGCAGCCCCCUGGGAUAAUAUUGACGCUCAUGCACGAAAGCGUGGGGAGCAAACAGGAUUAGAUACCCUGGUAGUCCACGCCCUAAACGAUGCACACUAGUUGUUGUGAGGCUAGACCUUGCAGUAAUGCAGUUAACACAUUAAGUGUGCCGCCUGGGGAGUACGGUCGCAAGAUUAAAACUCAAAGGAAUAGACGGGGACCCGCACAAGCGGUGGAGCAUGUGGUUUAAUUCGACGAUACACGAAGAACCUUACCUGGACUUGACAUAGUAAGAACUUUCUAGAGAUAGAUUGGUGUCUGCUUGCAGAAACUUAUAUACAGGUGCUGCACGGCUGUCGUCAGCUCGUGUCGUGAGAUGUUGGGUUAAGUCCCGCAACGAGCGCAACCCUCGUCAUUAGUUGCUAACAGUUCGGCUGAGAACUCUAAUGAG